rnacentral:misc_RNA from 1 species
CGUCCUCCACCAACGUCGUCACCUGAUCAGGAGAGUUGAUGGUGCAUCCGUGGUAGGAAGAAGAUGAAAUCCCGCCACCUGACCUCCAGUCGUCGGUAUCGCCGGCGACUGGCCUCGCUUUCCCAUCGCCGCCGUCGGCUCCGCCGACAGAAGCCGUCCGGCCGGCUUCGACGGAGAACGACUUGACAGCAGAGGGAUCGAAGUCGAAGUCGAGUCUAUGAUCCUCGACUGUCGCGGCUAUGACUGACGCCGGCGGAGCGGUGGCGGCGAAGGACAUGGAAUUUACGGUAAAGUUGGCUAAAAUAAGCAUCAGAGAAAGCAUUAGAGUAGGCGUGCAGGAGAAUAUCUGCUGGAACAACCAGACAAAUGAGGCGUGCAUCUCUUGAUGUACUCGAGCUAAGAUGCCGUCCAGGUUCUCGACAAAAAGCAGCUCUCGCAUCUGGAGAGUGCACCGCUGCAGCUCGCCGAUGAUGAACACCAUUGACGAGAACGCCUUCUUCACCGGUGUCUCAAUCGCUG